UACGUAGGGACCGAGCGUUGUCCGGAAUCAUUGGGCGUAAAGAGCGUGUAGGCGGCCACUUAAGUCCUGCGUGAAAUCUUGCGGCUCAACCGCAAGCGGUCGUGGGAAACUGGGUGGCUAGAGUGCGGGAGAGGAGAGUAGAAUUCCUGGUGUAGCGGUGGAAUGCGCAGAUAUCAGGAAGAACACCCGUGGCGAAGGCGGCUCUCUGGAACGCAACUGACGCUGAGACGCGAAAGCGUGGGGAGCAAACAGG
rnacentral:rRNA from 1 species